rnacentral:pre_miRNA from 12 species
UGAUGUCCUGCACAGGUGGUGUUAUCUGUAGGUGGCCAUGACACUGUUGUACCCACUAGCGAGUUAAGAAAACGCCACACUUUGAGACGAAUUAAGAGUCCUUUAUUAA